rnacentral:rRNA from 1 species
UACGUAGGGGGCAAGCGUUGUCCGGAAUCAUUGGGCGUAAAGCGCGUGUAGGCGGCUUGGUAAGUCUGCUCUGAAAAGCCCCGGGGCUCAACCCCGGGAGGCGGGUGGAUACUGUCAAGCUCGAGUCCGGAAGAGGAGUGUGGAAUCCUGGUGUAGCGGUGAAAUGCGCAGAUAUCAGGAAGAACACCCGUGGCUAAGGCGGCUCUCUAGUACGGUACUGACGCUGAGACGCGAAAGCGUGGGGAGCGAACAGG